CCUACGGGUGGCAGCAGUGGGGAAUAUUGCGCAAUGGGCGAAAGCCUGACCCAGCAACGCCGCGUGAAGGAAGAAGGCUUUCGGGUUGUAAAGUUCUAUCAAGAGGGAAGAGCAGAAGACGGUACCUCUUGAAUAAGCCACCGCUAACCACGUGCCCGCAGUCGGGGUAAUACGUAGGUGGCAAGCGUUGUCCGGUUUUACUGGGUGUAGAGGGCGUGGAGCCGGGAAGACAAGUCAGAUGUGAAAUCCCGAGGCUCAACCGCGGCACUGCAUUUGAAACUGUGUGUCUUGAGUACCGGAGAGGUCAGCGGAAUUCCUUGUGUAGCGGUGAAAUGCGUAGAUAUAAGGAAGAACACCAGUGGCGAAGGCGGAUGACUGGACGGCAACUGACGUUGAGGCUCGAAAGCGUGGGGAGCAAACAGGAUUAGAUACCCUAGUAGUC
rnacentral:rRNA from 1 species